rnacentral:miRNA from 1 species
GGCAAGUCCGUCCUUGGCUACA